UUACUGUUAAAAAAUCACUUGAACUGUAGAAGUCGUAAGUUGCAAUGACCUUUAAAUGCCUGAAGGUCCUCUCCCAAAAAUAUUAAUUUUUGAAGCUCGAUUACUGCUUUUCUUGCAUUUCCUGUAGCGAUCGAGAAAAAAAACUACCAAUUUUAAGGGCAUAUAUUCGGAAACUUUGCAUUAAAGUCGUAAUUGCACACUUAUAUUUUAGAACGGUCAUGUAGUGAAUGGAUUUAGAACUUAACAUUUUGUGUAAAGUUUCCACAAUGAUAAUAAUGACUGAACUCGACUCAAGCACAUUUUUGCAUGCACAGUCAAGAAUCCAAACCCCAAACAUCUGGUAUCUCGCAAGUGGUCCAUGAGAGUGGUCUGACGAGAGUGGUCCACGAAGGUAGUCCACGGACCAGGUCCACGAAGGUAGUCCACGGACCUGGGGUCCGCGUUUUGUCGUUUCCCGCCUUCUACGCAGGCUGAUAUUUACAUUUCAAAAAUAAUUAAUAAUUUGUGAGGAAAAUACAAAGAAAAAUCAUAACAUAAGCGUGUCGUUUACAUGUGAUAGAGAUUUCCCUUGAUUUACAUAAACUUUAACGUUGAUUUUCUCGACUUAUACAACGUAUUUUUUGAAAAUUACUUCGCCAAUGACCGUAGUAUAGAGCGAUCGUUUUUGAAGCAAUUUAAAAUACUGUGCCGAUGUCUUCUUUAUUAAUAUCAGACCUAAAGAGUAAAGAUAUUCGGCUUGGCCUCCUAUUUUAUAUCUGAUAAAACACUGCUGAUCAUGCAUUAAAUAGUACUAAAAAACUCAUUUAGAUAAACUUUAAGUUAAAUUUUCUCACCAAAUAUCAUUCAUUGAAUAUUUAAAAUUGUUGAAGAAUACGAAUGUUCUCAAACGUUUGAUCACAAGUCAUACGAAGUAUCGAAGUAUCACAUGUUGUGACAUUGUUGUCCCAGACAUUGUCUUUGGCUCAAGUUUGUACAUUUGAUACAACACGGCCGCUCAUGCUUUAUCUAGAUUGUAGACAUAAAAUUUACAUCCGCAGUGCGUGUUUUAUCAGACUUAUAAAAGAUACUCGGCCUCGCCUAUAGUACUUCAAACUUUUGAAGACCAUACAUGUCAAGUCCGCGUAAUGUAAAUAAAUCCUUCGACGCUUUGUUUAUAUUUUGGACUGCUAUAUAUUUGUAAAAUAAGACAUACUAUUAACUAAAUAAAUAUCUAACAGUUUUCUGGUUCGCUAUUGUAAAUGAAUAUAAACUAGAGUACGUUUCAAUUCAAAACAUUUCGAAAAAUGCAAAAUUUGGGCAAUAUUUAUUUCUGUGGGUCGCCGUUUGUUAUGAACAGAACUGAUGUGCAGAACGAACUUGACAAGGUCUUUAAACAUUAAAAAAAUC